rnacentral:rRNA from 1 species
UACGUAGGAGGCGAGCGUUGUCCGGAGUUACUGGGCGUAAAGCGCCCGCAGGCGGUCUCUUUAGUCUCAGGUGACAGUCCCCGGCUUAACUGGGGAAGUGUCUGGGAAACUGGGAGACUUGAGGGCUUCAGAGGGACAUGGAAUUCCGAGUGUAGUGGUGAAAUGCGUAGAUAUUGGGAAGAACACCGGUGGCGAAGGCGGCGCUCUGGACCGAGACUGACGCUGAGGCGCGAAAGCGUGGGGAGCAAACAGG